rnacentral:lncRNA from 1 species
CCAGGAAGCAAGUAGAGGGACAGUGGACUGAGCAGGACUCCCAAGGAGUGGAGCAGGAUGUUGAUUCAGAACAAGUCUGCACCCCUCCCUGGGACCCUCUUUUGCAAUUACACCUUUCUUGUCCUAACAGAACAUUUGUGACAAAGCAUGUUUGUGUCUGGUCCUUCACGGAGGCUGAAAGGAUGGUAAGACACAGUGAGCAAAAAAGGGUUAAUAGGGCUCAGAGCUCCUGAGCCUGUCAAAAGACAGCAGAAAUCUCACAGGAAAGGUAUCUGCUAUAUCUCAGCAUCCUGAGCCACUCAAGAAACCCCAGAGGAGCUUCACUGAUUUGGCAAAAAGGGUUGAUAAAAUGCAGCAAGGCACAUUAGGAUUGGAAUGCAGUGCUUGGCUCUGGAGAUGGGGAAAGGAGUCACAGUAAAUAUAUUUUCAGACACACAUUGUCUUUCUCUCUCUUUGUCUAAUGAUUCAAGCAGUCACUACCCUGGAAGUGGAACAUGAUCUCAGCAUCAUGUCAAGCCAUCUCCUACCCUCAGCAUGCAGGCAUGACAAAGAAUACGUGUGUGACACUCAGAGAUUCCUUCAGGGUCUCACCUCUUGUUACCAGUGGUGAUGCUGCUUACUGCUGCUUCUCCUCUUCUCUAAGCCUCCCUUGUCACUUCGUUCUUUCCCAGGCAGCACUUUUUGUGUGUCAAUUCAAUUAUUUCGACAGCCAUUGUGUGCCGUCCCCAGCUGAGCCCCCCCAAGCUAUCCCUGCAAGCCCUUUCUGCUCUGGGACCUGUCACCCAGCAAGGGAUUCACAGCCAACUACUCAGCUGCAGCAUCUUCUGAAUACAUAAAAGAUCUUCUGUGAUAUCUUUGUAAUCACAUUCUUCACGCCUUUCAGAAGCUUUGACUGUAAAAUACAGUGGAGCAGGUAUUUUCUUUUUGGCCAUUUUCCAGCUAAACUGCCUUCCACAAAUAGAGAUAUAACUGUUUACUUGUCUACAUGACUUUUUAAUUGAGAAGUUUUACUAACCACCAUAACGGAUGUACCAAAUAAAUUUUGACCUAAAGUUUGGGAAGAACUACA